rnacentral:lncRNA from 1 species
AAUGUAAUUUGCAAACUCAAAUGCUCUGGCCGAGAAUCGCUGCGAUUAGUGUCCCGUUCCAGAUUUGGGGAUGAUGAUGAAUCUCUCAGAGCCGCUUCCUCGCCUUCCGGAAAAGCCCCUCGAGCGGAGCAGCGGCUGCAGUACCUCAUUGGAUCCGGAUGGCGGCGCUGUUGCGCACGGACGGCGGUGGGGCGGGCGCAUGCAAAUCUACCGCAGCGAUCAGCCAAUCGGCUGCCACCGGGCUUGGAGCGGGGGCAGCUGGGAGCCACAGCGAUCCGUUCCCGAGGUUCGCUCGGGAGCGCGUACGGGGAAAGAAGUAAGAAAGAGCGGAGAGUCGACGAGGGAAGAGCGUCGAGAGCUGCUGGUCUGAUACCGCUUCUCGCUCUGACCGCAGAGAUGGCUCGAGAUGCCAAGGUGGAACAGGUCCUCCCGGCUCUGCUACACGUCCGCCUGUAUUCCCGGAAGUACCGUCUAAUUGUCGUGAACUCCUACGCCGCCGCUCCGCUAUUAUCUAUGGUCUUCAGUCCUCCAGAAAGUAAGACGCAUGCGCCCGGCAACACGGAAGUAGCGUCUUUCUGCAGGAACAGCUGUACGCCAGCAGUUCACUGGUCCCUAUUGUAGCAGGCCCUCCUGACUGUACUACGCAUGCGCACGGCAAAGUGGCCGUAGUGCCGUUUCGGUACGUGUAGUGCCGCAUCGCAGUGAGCGGGGGGCAGCAGAGAGCCGCUGCGCAUGCGGGGUGCGUGACCUUUAGGAGGGGUUUAGCACGCGUGCGCGAUUCACAUGGAGGACCGAUGACCAUAGAGCCUGCUGGAACCCGGAGCCUAGCGCGGCUUGCAGGAAGUCGCUUUGUUUACUUCCUGCUGCGUUGGGUCGCGGGUACGUGGCGGCGCGGCGAUCUCCGUGUGGAUUGUGACGUCCAUCAGCAGCACGGGCCCCGGACGCCAGCGAUGCCCCGUUCGCGCCCAGUUUAACCCUUCGAGCUCUGCCUCGCGCUCUUUUUCUCAGGGUGGUGCUGCAGCCGAGGCCCUUUGAGCGACAGUUGCACUGCAGCACCCCUGCUACCCACAACAGCCUUCCAGUUAACCCCUCACUGUAUUCUUGAAACGCUUCUUAGUAAGUCCUUCUAAGGAAGAUGAUCAAGUCACUUUUAAACUAACAAGUUCAACCACACCACAUAACUUCAACAGAAACAUGUUGGAUAGCAUAUUACUCCCCACCACAGGUACACCUCACCUCCCUGCUCUUAUGUUGAAGCAAGUCUUCCUACCACCGACAACACUUAUUAGUCCCUCACAUCUCCCCUCUCUCCCUCUAUGGACACCAAGGUCCCCUGUUGUCCCCGUGCUCUCCUGUGCAUUCCCAUAGGGCAUGACGGGCCCCUCCCACCCCAUGUCCCCAUCAGCUCCACAGCGUGCUGCACGGCACCCUAGAGACCUCCCAGUGCACUCUUAAGUGCACUCUAGGGAACUUUCCCAGGGAAUCACCUUCCUGCCAAUCAGAUCCCACCACUUCAAUCCUCUCUCACAUUUAGGGCAGCAAAUAGCCUUCCUAGAUUUCUCAAGAAGUCUCCUGGGGCCCUAGUGUGCUUUAAGGCAUCCUACAAUAGUCCUAUGGACCC